UGGGGAAUAUUGCACAAUGGGCGCAAGCCUGAUGCAGCCAUGCCGCGUGUAUGAAGAAGGCCUUCGGGUUGUAAAGUACUUUCAGCGGGGAGGAAGGUGUUGUGGUUAAUAACCUCAGCAAUUGACGUUACCCGCAGAAGAAGCACCGGCUAACUCCGUGCCAGCAGCCGCGGUAAUACGGAGGGUGCAAGCGUUAAUCGGAAUUACUGGGCGUAAAGCGCCCGCAGGCGGUCUGUCAAGUCGGAUGUGAAAUCCCCGGGCUCAACCUGGGAACUGCAUCCGAAACUGGCAGGCUUGAGUCUUGUAGAGGGGGGUAGAAUUCCAGGUGUAGCGGUGAAAUGCGUAGAGAUCUGGAGGAAUACCGGUGGCGAAGGCGGCCCCCUGGACAAAGACUGACGCUCAGGUGCGAAAGCGUGGGGAGCAAACA
rnacentral:rRNA from 1 species